UUAGACAAACAGAUGGAAGGAAUCCUACUCCAAAAUGGCCAGAAAAAGGAGGAGGAAGGGGAAGGGAGAACCUGGCAAAGUCGUAAAAUGUCUUUGUAAAUGGGCUCUUGAGCCCUAAUGGCUGUAACAUCAGAGAACAAUGGUCAAGACAAUUGACAUUUAUAAUGGGCAUGCCUAAAGGUGUUGAAGUCAUAACUGAUCAGGAAUCUAUUUCCUGCUUAUAAGGAAAGUGCGUGGGCAAAUCUGAAGGUGAUUUAACCUAUAAUCCAUCACCUAGAUGUCUCCAUCUGAACAAUUCUGACACUUUCUCCUCCUCCCCAGCUGUCGCAGCAUGCCAUGGAGGCUAAAUUUCUAUAAAAAUACUGUGAAAGGACCGGGCGCAGUGGGUCACGCCUGUAAUCCCAGCACUUUG
rnacentral:lncRNA from 10 species